GCUGCGGUAGCUCAACUGGCAGAGCAGCGGAUUUGUAAUCCGCAGGUUGUGAGUUCGACUCUCACCCGCAGCU
rnacentral:tRNA from 1 species